rnacentral:rRNA from 1 species
AACGGGUGAGUAACACGUGAGUAACCUGCCUUACACAAGGGGAUAGCCUUUGGAAACGAAGAAUAAUACCCUAUAAAGUCAAUUUAUCGCAUGAUAGAGUGACCAAAGAUUUAUCGGUGUAAGGUGGACUUGCGUCUGAUUAGCUAGUUGGUGAGAUAAAAGCCCACCAAGGCGACGAUCAGUAGCCGGCUUGAGAGAGUGUACGGCCACAUUGGGACUGAGACACGGCCCAAACUCCUACGGGAGGCAGCAGUGGGGAAUUUUGCACAAUGGGGGAAACCCUGAUGCAGCGACGCCGCGUGAUUUAGAAGGCCUUCGGGUUGUAAAAAUCUUUUUUAUGGGAUGAAAAUGACAGUACCAUAAGAAUAAGGUCCGGCUAAAUACGUGCCAGCAGCCGCGGUAAUACGUAUGGAUCGAGCGUUGUCCGGAAUCAUUGGGCGUAAAGGGUACGUAGGCGGCCUAGUAAGUUAGAAGUGAAAUAAUAUAGCUCAACUAUAUAAAGCUUUUAAAACUGUUAGGCUUGAGAGAUGAAAGGGAAAGUGGAAUUCCUAGUGUAGCGGUGAAAUGCGCAGAUAUUAGGAAGAAUACCGGUGGCGAAGGCGACUUUCUGGUCAUCAU